UACGUAGGUGGCAAGCGUUGUCCGGAUUUAUUGGGCGUAAAGCGCGCGCAGGCGGUGCGGUAAGGCUGCCGUGAAAUCGCCCGGCUCAACUGGGCGGGUGCGGUGGCGACUGCCGGACUGGAGGGACUCAGAGGCCGGUGGAAUUCCCGGUGUAGUGGUGAAAUGCGUAGAGAUCGGGAGGAACACCAGUGGCGAAGGCGGCCGGCUGGGGGUGCCCUGACGCUGAGGCGCGAAAGCGUGGGGAGCGAACAGG
rnacentral:rRNA from 1 species